rnacentral:snRNA from 1 species
GUCUCUUCGGAGACAUCUGAUAAAAUUGAAACAAUACAAAGAAGAUUAGCAUGGCCCUUGCGCAAGAAUGACAGGCACAAAUAGAAAAAUGGUCCUUUA